CUUCGAUGUACCCGGAACAUUCAACAUUGUGUCUCUUACCUUCUUAGAGGUGUAAUAUCGGUAAAAAUGGUUGCAAAAUUACAUGUAGCUCUAUUAAUUGUCACUAUAAUCGCGGCAUCACUUCAAACAUCUCUAGCGGCCCCCAAACCAUCAAACAAAGAGCUUUUAGAGCACAGCAUCGCUGAAUAUUUGCGCCAUGAUAAACAACUUGUACAAGAAUU